rnacentral:rRNA from 1 species
AUUGAACGCUGGCGGCAGGCCUAACACAUGCAAGUCGAGCGAGCGGCGGACGGGGGAGUAAUGUAUGGGGACUGCUCGAUAGAGGGGGAUAACUACUCGAAACGGUAGCUAAUACCGCAUACUAUCGGAUAACCCAUAUGGGAUUAGCUAGUAGGUGUGGUAAUGGCUCACCUAGGCGACGAUCCCUAGCUGGUCUGUGAGGAUGAUCAGCCACGCUGGGACUGAGACACGGCCCAGGCUCCGACGGAGGCAGCAGUGGGGAAUAUUGCACAAUGGGCGCAAGCCUGAUGCAGCCAUGCCGCGUGUAUGAAGAAGGCCCUAGGGUUGUAAAGUACUUUUGGCAGAGAAGCGGUAUCUGCAGAAUAAGCACCGGCUAACUACGUGCCAGCAGCCGCGGUAAUUC